ACUCCUACGGGAGGCAGCAGUGGGGAAUAUUGGACAAUGGGCGCAAGCCUGAUCCAGCCAUGCCGCGUGAGUGAUGAAGGCCCUAGGGUUGUAAAGCUCUUUCACCGGUGAAGAUAAUGACGGUAACCGGAGAAGAAGCCCCGGCUAACUUCGUGCCAGCAGCCGCGGUAAUACGAAGGGGGCUAGCGUUGUUCGGAUUUACUGGGCGUAAAGCGCACGUAGGCGGACUAUUAAGUCAGGGGUGAAAUCCCGGGGCUCAACCCCGGAACUGCCUUUGAUACUGGUAGUCUUGAGUUCGAGAGAGGUGAGUGGAAUUCCGAGUGUAGAGGUGAAAUUCGUAGAUAUUCGGAGGAACACCAGUGGCGAAGGCGGCUCACUGGCUCGAUACUGACGCUGAGGUGCGAAAGCGUGGGGAGCAAACAGGAUUAGAAACCCUUGUAGUCCCAUGAU
rnacentral:rRNA from 1 species